rnacentral:sRNA from 2 species
GUGCAUGCGUACGCGCCUGCUCAACUCCCGUCUGUUCACGCUGCAGGCUGUGGGAGUCGGUGGUGCGGCCGGCAGGCCAGCAUGAAGAAGC